AGGCGCUUGGCCAGAGAGGCGCUUCCCUGCAACUGCAUCCCUUCUGUCCAUAUUGUUUCUGCCAGCUACCGCUGAUAUCAUGAUGUAGCUCAGCGGCGCCGGCAGCACACUAAAGUACGGCGGCGGCGCGGAUAGCUCAUUAUGCCCACCUCCGGCUCCAAGCUCCACACACAGCGCUGCGCCGCCCUGCCCGCACCUGUCAUGCUGCGGAGACAGGCAGCAGGGGCAGGCAGCGGCGACGCGUCCUCCGUCCUCCGUCCAGGAUUUCAAUAUUGAGCGCCGCCCCUUGCCCUAUCCCCUCUCUCCUCACUAUCCAGCCCCGCCCCUUGCCCUAUCCCCCCUCUCUGCUCUCUAAAUCUAGUGCCGCCCCUUGCCCUAUCUCUGGCCGUCUCUCCUCUCUUUAUGCAGUGUGCCGCCCACCCCCCUCUCUCCCCUCCCAUAGGUCUCUUGCCUCUGUUGCUUAUGCAACGCCCCCAAUCUCCCUCCUCCCUUCUUCUCCCUCCCCUACCCUCCCUCAGGACUGGACUCUGGUGUGGAGAGGAGUGUAAUGGCCGCCGAAGAGGAGCCAGACAGGAGGAGCAGGAAACGCUGAAGACAGAAGAAGCAGUUACAGAAAAAAAGGUAUUGGCACCUGGUGAGGACCUUCUGUCGCUGUCCGAAUGGACCAAUUGGAGGAAAGUAAUAGUAUUGGCGAAGGUGAGGACCUACUCUCAAUUUCCGAUUGGAUAAAUUGGAAUCAAGUAAUAGUGAGGUCCCUGGAAAAUUGCUCUGUGAUGCUGAAGAAGAAGAAGAAGAGAACUGCAGGAGAGGCAGUGCUGCGGA